CUUGGUCGUGCUUGUCUGUUCUGUUACCUAGUGCCCUGGUCGUGCUCUGUCUGUCUGUUACCUAGUUCCCUGGUCGUGCUCUGUCGGUCUGUUACCUAGUGCCCUGGUCGUGCUCUGUCUGUCUGUUACCUAGUGCCCUGGUCUUGCUCUGUCUGUCUGUUACCUAGUGCCCUG
rnacentral:lncRNA from 1 species